UCCUUCUGGCAAUGGGCAAGUAGACAUCUUUUUUUGGUGUGGUGUUGUUUUUAUAUCAGUCAGGGUCAGAGAACAUGGCAGUCCUUUGGUCAUCCUAGCUUGGUGCCUGGUUUGGUGGCCCAAGCUGUUUUAUGCCUAGGAUACAUAA